rnacentral:rRNA from 1 species
CACGUAGGGCGCAAGCGUUGUCCGGAAUUACUGGGCGUAAAGGGCGCGUAGGCGGGAUGGCAAGUCGGUCGUGAAAUCCCUCGGCUCAACUGAGGAUCGUCGAUCGAUACUGCCGUUCUUGAGGAUUGCAGAGGAGACUGGAAUUCCCGGUGUAGCGGUGAAAUGUGUAGAGAUCGGGAGGAACACCGGUGGCGAAGGCGGGUCUCUGGGCAAUUCCUGACGCUGAGGCGCGAAAGCGUGGGGAGCAAACGGG